rfam:Stegodyphus mimosarum contig18895, whole genome shotgun sequence.
GCCUUCGUGGUGUAUUGGCCAGUACGCUGGGCGCAUAUUCCAGAGGUCCGUGGUUCGAUUCCCGGCGAAGGCU